rfam:Schistosoma margrebowiei strain Zambia genome assembly, scaffold: SMRZ_scaffold0000393
AUCCAGCUGACGAGUUUCAAAAUAAAACGAAAUGGCGCAAGUCCUGGAU